rnacentral:lncRNA from 1 species
CUACCUGAAUAUCCCUUAGAAACCCCGAGCACGUCCCGUGCUACCCCCCUAACCAAGCUAGCUGUCGCUGACCACAUAGCGUCCGCUUCCCCAUAACUUCUCCAAGCUCCGCCCUCUUCUAACCUCCUUUCCAUCUCCUGAGCUUUCUCCUUGGACAAAGCUCCCCAUCUAAUCCGCGGUUGACCCUGGGCGCCCCUCCUCUUCUUCUUCACCCAGAGAUCGACAUCCAUCACUAGUAGUCUAUGGAGAGUUGAAAGAGACUCUGCCGGAAUAACCUUGCAGUCCUUGCACAAACCCCUAUCGCUCCUUCUGAUGAGGAUGUAAUCAAUCUGAGUCCUUCGCCGCCGAACUCUUGUAGGUGACCAAAUGCUCCUCCCCCUUCCGGAAUGUCGAGUUCGCAAUCAGGAGCUCGGAAGCCCUGGCAAAAUCAAGCAGCGAAGUNNN